AUGACUCACAACUGUGACCGCCUCCGUGUUUUCCUUCUUCCCUUCUUUUCAAGUCCAAGUUUUUCUACGGACAUUCAGUCUGAAAACACUCACGUGGAUGUGUGCGUCGCACUUUGCAGGUCCAAGACUGAUCCUCAAGCGCGAAGAGCGACCUCGGAUCCGGGCUCGCCCGGUGGGCCCCCUUGUCGCGUCCAAGCGUCCCGCCCCGGCUCGGCUGCGCUCCGCGGGGACCCAGGACCUUCGCCGCAGCGGUUGCCCGGGCGCGGGCCGCGCAGGCACUUGUUAGAGCGCCCGGCUUGCUCGGCUGCCCAGCUCUUCCCAGCUUUCUUUCACAAUGACUUCCUGAAGUUGCUCACUCUCAUUGUUCCCCAUUUCUCCGCCGCGAUCCCCACCCCCAGCCGGCCGCCACCCGGCUUUCGCGCUCGCGGCCGGUCUGCCCGUCCCGCGUGCACAGCGCCGCCCACGGGCUGCGCACCUGUGCCCCGCGCCGCGCCCCCGCGAGCCAGCGCUCAGUCACCUGCGGCCGCUUGCUCCGAGCGCCCGGGCCCGAGCGCGCGCCCGUUACCCUCGCUCCGCAAACUUUGUGGCUGCGCGCCACACCGGUCCCGGCGCGCCCUGCCCCGCAGCUGCCUCGCCCCUGCCUCGCCCCUGCCUCGCCCCUGCCUCGCCCCGCGUGCACGCUCCGGCACCAAACAGGACAGAAGCGAGGAGCGGGGCCCCGGGCGUGGCGCGAGCAGGACUAGGAGAGGGACUGAGACGGGGAGCGGGACUGGACGCGGAACCAGGCACGGUGCGGGACUCCGAGCGGGACUUGGAGAGGGAUUCUGGUCGGGGCGCGCCGCCCCAGCCGCCCGUCGCCCGCUCACGCGGCGCCGUCCCGAGCGCAACUCCGGGGCAUCGUGCGCAAACUUUGGCGCCGCGCGGGGCUGGACCCUGGCCGGCCCCAACACAGGAGACCCGGGAAGCGGCAGGCACGGGCCGUACCUGCUCGCGCCGCCGCGCGCUGCAUCCCGCUCGCCGGCACUGGGCCCGCUGGGCGCGCCGCCGCCACCCCACGCGCUGCGCGCCCCUGUCCUCCCCGCGCCGCCGUGCUUCCUCAUCCCACCGCUGCCAGGCAUAGCCAGAGGGUCCGCCACCGCGCCGCAGGACCCGCGCUUAACCCCUGGGGUUCCGGCGCGGAUGGCGUGUGGAGGACUGCCAGAUCUGGGGCGUCCUCCCGGGGACCGGCAGCCUUGCGCCCCGGGCCGCUCGUCGGGGCACCCGCGUGCUCGCCCUGCCCUAGGACUCGGAACCCAGUGA
rnacentral:lncRNA from 1 species